GACGAACGCUGGCGGCGUGCUUAACACAUGCAAGUCGAACGGACAGGCCCUGCUUUUGCGGGUUGCUCGAGUGGCGAACGGGUGAGUAACACGUGAGUAUCCUGCCCUUGACUUUGUGGUAACUUCAGGAAACUGGGGCUCAUACCCCAUAGGAUCUCCUGCUGCAUGUUGUGCGUUGGAGAGUUUCGGCGGUUCGGGAUGGACUCGCUGCUUAUCAGCUUGUUGGUGUGGUAGUGGCUUACCAAGGCUUUGACGGGUAGCCGGCCUGAGAGGGUGACCGGCCACAUGGGGACUGAGAUACGGCCCAGACUCCUACGGGAGGCAGCAGGGGGGAAUAUUGCACAAUGGGCGGAAGCCUGAUGCAGCAACGCCGCGUGCGGGAUGACGGCCUUCGGGUUGUAAACAGAUUUCGCAUGUGACGAAGCGUGAGUGACGGUAAUGGGUAAAGAAGCAACGGCUAACUACGUG
rnacentral:rRNA from 1 species